rnacentral:lncRNA from 1 species
GCUGCUCGUGCGACCAGCCCCGACGCUGCCUCCAUCCGCUCGACCGGCCGCCCAUCGCCGGAGUUCGCCACCUCGCCGUCAUGCCGAACCGCCGUUGGCCGACCCCCUCUCCCGUUGCGGUCUCUCUUCUCCAUCUCCCUUGGCUGCUUCGAGACCCAGCAGCAACCAGAGAAGUCCCAUCCGAAGCUGCACGCCAGCCGGAGGUCUCGCCGUUCGCCCGUCGCCGCCGUCGCGCGUCUACCUCACGCUCGCCCGCGCCUGGCCGCGCACCGCUCCGCCCUCUUCACCCAGCUCGUCGUCCCGAGCUGCUGUUCAGCUCGCGCAAGAGCUGCCGGAGCUCAUUCGUCGCCGCCGUGCACCGCCGUUCGUCGCCGCCAGCCACCGCGUAGCUCCUCCGCCCUUUCCGACCCGAACCGGCACCGGAUCUACCCUUCCUCGGCCUCAAACCGCCAUGGACAGCAGCUGAAAAAAAAAUGGGUAUGCAGCGGACGUUUGGCCCGUUUUGGCCGCCUUCCCGAGCCCGGAUGCUCGGCCCACUUUGAGGAAAGUUGUUCUCCUCGCCGUCCCCGUCAUUUUGGUCCGCUCGGCUCGCUAAUCCGAUGAGUUUAGCUCACUAAACCUCGCUUAGAGGGUUAAUUAUGGUUAGGGAGGUUUAGUUUAUGUUAAGUAUUAUUAGGUUGUUAUUUUGUGUUAAUUAAGAGUAGAUUUGAUUAAGGUGGUGGUUUAAUUUAAAGUGUGCUUAAUUAAGGGUAAGUAGGUUUAUUUAAAAUAAGCCUUGAUUUGACAUAAAUGAAUUUACUUUUGAUUUAUUUAAAUGUCUCGAAAUUAUUAUAUAAUUUAAUAAUAAUUUUAUUCGAAAUUAAUAAAAUAUUAUUAUUUAAUUAUUUUCGGAAUAAAUUAAAUUAUUUAUUAAAUUCCGAAAAUUUUGUCGAGACCCUAAAUUCUCAGAAUUUCGUACCGGUCGCUGCUAUGUAGUCAGAUUUUGAAAUUGACGAUUGGAUUUUAUAAAUUGAGUGUGGAUCGUGAAAGACAUGGAUAUUAUUAUUUAAUUAUUUUCGGAAUAAAUUUAAUUAUUUAAUAAAUUCCGAAAAUUAUUCUGGAACCUUAUUCUCCCAUAAUUUCGUGCUGAUCGUUGCUGUGUAUUUAGAAUUUGAUAUUGAUGAUUGGUUGUGGCAAAUUGAGUGUGAUUGCGAUAUAUAGGGAUUCUUUAUGAAAUCCUAAGUGUAGAAAUUGAUGGGAGAUUGGCUGUGAUUGACCACCUAUUAGAGGUCGUGCCUAAUAUGGCCGUGAUAAACCACCUAUGAGAGGUCGUGCCCAGUGAGGUCGUGAUAAACCACCUAUUAGAGGUCGUGCCCGAUGAGGCCGUGAUAUGCCACCUAUUAGAGGUCGCGCCCAAUGGGGCCGUGAAUUGCCACCUGUUAAAGGUCGCGCCGAGUGGAGCCGUGAUGCCACUGAUUCAAAUUUGCCGAGUAGGGCCGUAGUUGAGAGCAAUGAUUGAUUUGCCAGAAUGACAUGUAAUCGGCCGAGUCGAUUGAUUGCUGUGACGAUCCAAGUGGUUGAAUUGUUUGGAUAAUGUGAUUGUGACAUGGUUGUUUGGUUAUCAUAAUUGUAUGUGGUUGGAUUAUAUAAAUUGUGCUAACCUGCAGAUGAAGGCUGAGGCGAGGUAAGUCUUCUGUGUGAUGUGGCUAGGCCACCCUUGGGCGUAUUUUCUUUCUAAUAGGGGUUUAGGGGGUUGAACUUGCUGAGACGUUUUCUCAGUGGUUAUUGAAUAACCAUUUCAGGUCCCUGGUGGACGGAGCGGCCAGAUAGUUUUGGUUGGCCUUGAGGAGUUGCAGAGGUGAAGUCAUAAGGGUUGGAGAGCGUGUCCUGCUAGAUGGUUGUAGGAUAGUUCCCCUUUUGUUGAGCUGGUCUAUUUUGUAGAAAGUCCAGUGUUGUAUUUAAACCCUUUGUGUUUGUAAAUGAGUGUUUGGUAUUGUGAUUGAUUGCCUGCCUUUCUAUCUCAAGUUAAAUGUUGUCAGGGGAUUUGUUUCGCUUCCGCAUGCGUAAAGAAAUGAAUGGGUCGGCAACAUAUCCUGGGAUGUCGCAUUUUUGAUCGACCGCAGUGGGAUGUGUGCGCGCUCGGGGUUCGGGGCGUGACAUCCCCGUUUAAGUGGUAUUAGAGCAUGGUCUGUGUAUGGAGUGAUAAGGUGCAAUGAGUCUUGGGAUAGUUAGUAGGAAAGGCUUUUAAUAUGCUGAUGCAUGUGAGUGAUAGCUAAUUGGUAGCUUGUUUGUGGGGUCACUCAAAUUUCAACUUGAUGUUGGAAUCGAAAAACAGGUGUCUAUAAAGAGCCUGUAGGAUGAGUGACCAGGAGUGGAGAACUCCUUGGAGAAUGUCGAUAGGACCUAUACCUCGGGGUAGGAUGUUGACAAGAGUUGGUACCCGAGGUAAAGCGCAGGCUUAAACCAGCGCGAGUGUGAGAGUACCGCUGCAAGUCGGUACUUAGAGUGUAGCAGCACUUAACGAUCUUAGGUCCGUUGAGAUCAUUCAGGCGCUAGUGUCCCUUGGAAGCUUGUUGGGUCAGUAAGCUCAGGAUCGAGCCGUUGUUGUUGCUGUUAUUUCUACCGCUGCCAGUGUUGUGACCGUUGUUAUUGCCGUGCCUGUUGAGGCCUAAUCUGGAGUUGUGAUCGAGGAUCAAGUCUUCAUAUCUGAGUCAAGGUUCAGUUUAGACAGAGAUGAAAAAUCGGUUGGGGAGAAAGGCCGAUGUCAGAAGAAAGGUGCCCUAUUUCACCCAACCCGAAGAGUAGAAUUGGAAAGUCAGUGCUCAACUCGAUCGAUGUGUGUCGUGUCUGUAAGAAAAGACAUGGAUCUAUUUUGUGCUGUAAGAGAGAGAUGACUUGUUACAAGGGUCGCCAGUACAGUCACUUGAUCAAAGAUGGUUCGUAUAGACAGAUGGAAUCACAGCUGUUUCUGUCACCGUCGUUGAUAAGACAGAACAGAGGAAGCAUGCUUCAGGAUGUUCAGUGGGGUACUUGGAAUGGACCCCAGUGCAAGAAAGGGUGCAUGAUGUUCCUUGAUGGGAGGUAGAGGACUCACCGAUUGUGUAACGAGUUUGUGGAAAGAGGCUUGAGUCAGCCCAGUGUCAGAGUAAAAAGGGAGCAUGCUUCAAGUGUGGCCAGCAUAGUCGUCAGGUUAAGAACUGUCCGUGUAAGUUUAGGAGAGUGUAAGCACUGCUACUGCAGAUAGAACGCCACUAGGAUGGCGAAAAGAAUAAUAAUGGAUUGACUAUGCAUUAAUCAAGGGAAGAAUGUUUUGAGGUGUUCAUCAGAGUAGCGCAACAGGAUUUUGAGUGAAGGUUGUGGAGUCUCCGUUGUUGUAAUAAAGUAAUAGGAAGAUGAGUAUUUGACUAUAGUUGUACCUGAUGGGUUUGCUUAUGUAUGACUCAGAAGUCAUUUAUGAAAAGGUUUGGCUCGAGGAGCUUUCUGCUGUUAUGAAUUGUGGCAGUGAUAUAAUUUAGUUUGUUCAGUUAGCGUGUGAAAGUUUUGAAUCACUGAAAGUUGAAGAGGAACUUCAAUCCUUGCUAUUUGUCACUGAAGAUGACUUGGUUCAGGUUGUUGGUUAUCGAAUCUACAUGGCAACUGAAGUGGAUGCAUCAGUUGAGGGGCCGAAUAUGAAGAUCAUAAUCGUGGUACAAGAGUUUUCUAAAGUAUUUUAUGCAAAAUUGCCAGGUUUGUUGUUGGAAAGAGAAAUAGAGUUCAUGAUUGAAUUAGCACCCGGAACAGAGCCAGUCCCUAAGGCUCCUUACCGGAUGGUGUUACCUGAGUUAAAAGUGUUAGAGAAAUCUUCUUGAAGUGUUUUGAAGUUGACAAAACGUUUCUAUCAGUCUAGUUUGAAGGCUUGCAGACUCUGCUAUUUAAAGUCUGAAAACCUCCGGACAGCCAGACUCAAGACUCAAAGUCUAUCCUCAUUGACAGUCUCUAAUCCAUUGAAGAAAGGUUAUCCAGAACUGUAUGUUUCGUUAAGGAUUUGACCUUAUCAACUGGAGAAGAUCUCGUGGCUGGAGAAGACUUAACGGAGUCCUUUGAUUGAUCGAAGAUUGACUCGAUAAUUGAAGAUCCGGUGAUUGCCUAAGUAUUAUUGGAAGGUUCUGCUUAUGGAAACCGAGAUCCUGAUUGUAUGGGCGAACAGGAUUGAUGGGCUAUCAACACGUUCCUUUAAUAGCUUGAACAAUCUUCCUAAUUGAUUCCGUCCAACGGGUAGAUUGGAGGAAUUCCUUUGGUAAGUGCCAAUGGGUAUGAUGGCAUAAAGGAGUAUAUAAGGAAGACUGUCUUAGUUGUUCAAGGUGUGCACGAUAGAAGAAUUCCAAAGUCUGAAGCUUCUUUUUGUUUAGACAAAUCAUUUGAGCGAACACUUGUAUACAAAAGAGAGUCUAUAUUUGUGAGAAACCUUGAGGAGGUGUGGUAACUUCUCUUUUGAUCAUAGUGAAAUCCAGCCGGUGGGCUGUCAGUGCGGAAGAGUGGACGUAAGCUUGGAAUAAGCCGAACCACUAUAAACCCUGUGUUCAAUUCUCUCUUCCUCACUCUCUCUACCUCGAUCGUAUUUCAUUUUGUUAAUUAAGAGAGAAUUUCCUUUCUAUCAUAUGCUAAGAAUCGCUUCCGUAUUUCGAUAAAUUGUUUAUGCACCUAUUCACCCCCCCUCUAGGUACUCAUACUAGCGAUAUCAAAAAGAAUUGAAGGCGUAGAUGCAAGAAGUGUUGGAAGUGUUGGAUAAGGGAUUCAUACUUUCCAGUGCAUCACCUUGGGGAGCACCCGUUCUAAUCGUGAAGAAGAAAGUUGGUUCGUUGUGUUUAUACAUCGAUGUCCCUCAAAGUCGAUUGGAGGUCAUGGUAUCAUUAGUUGAGGAUCAGGAAGAAAGACAUACUGAAGUUAGCAUCUUGCACUCGAUACGGCAGUUAUGAGUUCAUUGUAAUACCGUGUGGUUUGAUGGACACCUUAGUUGGUUGUUUGGGUCUAAUGAGUAGAAUGUUUAAGGGUAUUUAAAUCAUUUGUGAUCGUGUUCAUUGAAAUUAUCCUAGUGUGUUCAUAGAGUACUGAGGAGCACGAGAGACAUUCGAGGAUGGUACUUCAGACCUUGAGUACUUUUGGAUUUUACAAUAAGCUUAGCAAGUGUGAGUUUUGGAUGACUCGUGUUGCGUUCCUAGGUCACGUGAUUUCAGGCGAAGAAAUCUCCGUAGACCCUGUCCAAGAUUGAAGCAGCGAUCAGUUGGCCGAUAUUGACUGUAGUGACAGAGAUUAGAAGCUCUAGGGAUUAGCAGGAUAUUACAGAAGUUUUAUGGAAAGGUUUUCAGCGUCAGCGUUGCAGUUGAUUCGACUACUGAGGAAGUAAGAAAAGUUCGUGUGGACGGAUAAGGGCGAGCGUAGUUUUCAAAGGCCUAAGAAGAGGCUAACUACCGCACAUGUGCUAACCAUUCCAUCUGGUCCUGAAAGUUAUGAGGUCUACAAUGAUGUGUCGUUUAAAGGAUUUGGUUGCUUGUUGAUGCAGCAUGAUAGAGUUAUUGCAUACACGUCCCGUCAGUUGAGAUCUUGUGAGUUAAAUCAUUCGACGCACAUCGUAGAACUUGCAGUAGUUAUGUUCGUUUGGAAUUUUAGAGGCACUAUCGGUACAGAGGAAUAUUGCAUAUCGUCAAUGACUAUCAAAGUCUCAAUAUGUAUUCUCAAAAAGGGAGUUGUAUAUGAGACAGCAUCGCUGGAUGGAACUCAUUAAGGAUUAUGAUUAUGGUAUUUCGUAUCACUCUGGAAAUGUGAGCAAAGUUACAGACGUACUGAAUCGAGAGUCCUUAGUUGCACAGUCGGUACUCAAGGAUUUGAUAUUAUUUGAGAAAGUUCGAAAUUCAAUUUUCGAAUCUAAGGUAGGCCACCUUUUGAAUCUUAUGACCACCCUCAGAAUUGAGCGGAGAGUAUAGAUCAUAAUCAAAUCGCUUCAGUGGACAGAUUCAGAAAUUCAGAAGAUUCUAUAAGAGAAUGCAAUUGAGAGAGAGGUUGAUUUUCAGAUUUCUGAUGACAGAACGCUAAGGUUCUGAGGACGAUUGUAUGUAAUUGAGAAUGCUGAGAUUAAAGAAUAGAUCUUAUGGGAAGCUCAUAGCAACUUCAGCGUUGUUCAGACAGUAAGAAGAUGAGUCAAAAUCUACAUCAUUGGGAUUGGUAGAUCUGCAUGAAGAUAGAUAUCGCCAAUCAAGUUGUGAGUGUUGGAGAUAUCAGUAAGUGAGAAUUUGGCGAUGUAAGCCAGGAAAGCUUUUUCAAGUACUGGAGAGAGUUCUGUGUGGGAAUGGAAGUAUAGCAUGAUGGAAUGUUAUGACAAGCUUAUUAAGGAGUCGGGAAGAGUAUUGAUUCCUUAUGGGGUUGUGGUCGAUAGAUGAUCAGAGUCAGCUCGCCUUAGUGCAGCAUGAAAGGAUCUCGAUUAGAAUAGAUAUACCGAAGUGUGUGUAUAUCAUAUAAAUCACCGGCAUGGAGUGCUGGGGAUGAAUUGUUUUUCAAAAAUAGAUCAGAUGUUCUGAGUUGGCAGAGCUUUCAGAUAGUUCUUUCUUAAGCAGUGCAUAGCAGAGAGUACAGAAUUUCAAUUGCCGAGAUGAAGUCAGGGAGAGAAAGAUCAGGUCAGGGUCAGUACAGUGGUCAGUGAUUGCAAUUGCCGAGAUCAGUGUCAGAAUUAUAUCAUAUCUUGACCAGAGGUUCUCAGUUUCAGCAAGUGAGUCAGAUAGUUUCUCUUUAAUCAGUGCAGAGCAAAGUGUACAGGAUUUCAGUCGGUUGAGAUGAGAUCAGAGAUUAGAAAAUCGCAAGUCCAGAGUUGGGUCAGAAAUCAGUGAUUCAGUUGCAAUUAUCAGAGACAGUUUAGAGACUGCUCAGAAUCGCCAGUUUAGCUUCGCAAAUUUUAUGUUGAAGACCUUUGGAAUUUUAAGUGGGCAAGUCUUCAGUAUUUUGUAUCCAAAGUGGUUUGGGUAAGAUAGCAGUGAUCUGGCAGUAUUAGUACAGAAGGAGCAACCUGAGAAACCGAAGUUUCGAUGAGACAAUUGUACCCCCACCUUUUCUGUUUAAGAAUUGGUAAAGGUUUAAAUUUCGAGGACGAAAUUUUUAUGAGAAGGGAAGAGUUGUGACAUCCCGAUUUUCCGAUUCUAUUUUCAAUAAAUUGAGACGGGCAUUUCGUUGGCACGCAUAUAGUUCUUUUCCUUGAGUUGGCCACUCAUGUGAAAACUAGUCUAUCGGGUGAAGCUGUUAAGAGUUUCUAAUGCAUCAGACUCGAGAAUUUGACCAGGAAGCGACCUUUCGACCGAGCUAGUCUGCAAGGGUCAUUACGGUACAAUUAAAAUCGAUUAGAGAUCGAAGAUAGGUCGACUCGACACAGGCGGGUGAUCAGGUGUGGGUGAUUCCACCAGAUCGCACAAUUCGUGUCGAUCGGCACUAGACCGACUUUUCUAUCGAUUGGGUACCCUGUAUUCGUAUUUGAAACCUUGAGAUUAUCUCGACAACCGAAAGUCGCCAAUGUUUCAAAGAUGUACAUUGUGGCUUGAGAUGAUCAACCACAGGUCAAAUGCAUGAAAAUUUCUAAAGGCUACCCGGUAGGUUGGGCCGCGCUAGUAUCGUGCCAAAGUGAAAUUAACCGUGGAAUUGAGAUCGAAUUCAGAAAUUGGAAGUCUGGGUGUGUCACAAAUCAUUUCAAGAUCAUUGAAUCAUCUUUGGAAGAUUUUUCAUGCAAGCCGAGCUUUUUAGCAAAAUAAUCAAGAAAUGGCUAAUUUGGCUCGAGAAAUUAGUAUGCCGCUUUUGCCGCGCUUUUGGGAUCUAAGUUGAUUAUAUAGACAAGUGAAGAUGUGAAUUAAAGUGUGGUCACAUUGGAUUAAUUUUAUGGACUUCAAUUGGACUCAAUUGGAAGAGAAUUGAUGAGAAUUAAAGAAAUUGGAUGUACAAGAAUUGGACCCCGGCAGAAAAUGAAAUUGCAACCAUUGGAAAAUGUUGUGGGAGGUUUUGAGAUAGUGGAAUAUGACAUCACUUGGUGAUGUCAUGGUGUGGGGGCAAGAAUGGCUAGGAUGUUGACAAGUGUAAGGUGGAGAUUUGAUUUCAAAAAGGGCACCCAUCAACAUCAUCUUCAAGCUUGGGAAGAGAGAGAGAGAGGGGAGGAGCUGCUCGUGCGACCAGCCCCGACGCCGCCUCCAUCCGCUCGACCGGCCGCCCAUCGCCGGAGUUCGCCACCUCGCCGUCAUGCCGAACCGCCGUUGGCCGACCCCCUCUCCUUCCCCUUCCUCUCCCGUUGCGGUCUCUCUUCUCCAUCUCCCUUGGCUGCUUCGAGACCCAGCAGCAACCAGAGAAGUCCCGUCCGAAGCUGCACGCCAGCCGGAGGUCUCGCCGUUCGCCCGUCGCCGCCGUCGCGCGUCUACCUCGCGCUCGCCC